rnacentral:rRNA from 1 species
AGUGAACGCUGGCGGUAGGCCUAACACAUGCAAGUCGAACGGCAGCACAGUAAGAGCUUGCUCUUACGGGUGGCGAGUGGCGGACGGGUGAGGAAUACAUCGGAAUCUACUUUUUCGUGGGGGAUAACGUAGGGAAACUUACGCUAAUACCGCAUACGACCUACGGGUGAAAGCAGGGGAUCUUCGGACCUUGCGGGAUUGAAUGAGCCGAUGUGGGAUUAGUUAGUUGGCGGGGUAAAGGCCCACCAAGGCGACGAUCCGUAGCUGGUCUGAGAGGAUGAUCAGCCACACGGGAACUGAGACACGGUCCAGACUCCUACGGGAGGCAGCAGUGGGGAAUAUUGGACAAUGGGCGCAAGCCUGAUCCAGCCAUACCGCGUGGGUGAAGAAGGCCUUCGGGUUGUAAAGCCCUUUUGUUGGGAAAGAAAAGCAGCAGGUUAAUACCCCGCUGUUCUGACGGUACCCAAAGAAUAAGCACCGGCUAACUUCGUG